CACUGCGGUACACUUGGAUUCGGUAUCACAUUCGCUGUCUGCAAACCCAUCCGCGCGGUCGAAGACUCCGGCGACGCCGGAUUGGAAAUCUUGCCGCGUGUCUGAGCUAUCACCGUCUCGUAGCUAGGUGGAGGACCAUAUAAUUGGUAAAUUGUAUGUAAUACGAGCUUGUUGCGCCUGACAAGGUGUGUUACGAAGAGAAUUUUGGGAUCUAGUGUUGGAAGAUCGAGUUGGAAUAGCAGAAGCAGCUGCUCUGUAUCUGCCUUGCAGCCAGUACCGGUACCACCAACCACCACCAGAACACACCAGGAACAUGAUUAUAACUAGAAUCCUGAAAAUUACAAAGAUGUCUUAUUGAUAUGUGUAGACAUACAUACAUAUAAUAUAAACAAGUAUUGUAGUACCAUAAAUGAUGGAAAUGGAGUCCUGGUGAUAUACAACAACCAAGUGCACAACAAUAUUCUGUCCUUGAACAUCUGCAAGUAUUAAAUUAAUAAUAUAAAAGUUAAAUGAAUAAUAUAAAAAUUCUUUUCAGUAUACAACAUACAAUAUUAUA